UACGUAGGGGGGCAAGCGUUUGUCCGGAUUUAUUGGGCGUAAAGAGCGUGUAGGCGGCCAGGUAGGUCUGCUGUGAAAACUCGAGGCUUAACCUCGAGCUGUCGGCGGAAACCAUCUGGCUAGAGUCCGGAAGAGGAGAAUGGAAUUCCCGGUGUAGCGGUGAAAUGCGCAGAUAUCGGGAAGAACACCAGUGGCGAAAGCGCUCUACUGGGCCUGCACUGACACUGGAGGGACGAAAGCUAGGGGAGCGAAAUGGG
rnacentral:rRNA from 1 species